rnacentral:rRNA from 1 species
AGGUGCAUGCCUCUAGCAUGAAGUCAGACAAGUGC